AGGUUCAAGUUGCUAACCUAUAUCGUUCUAGCAUCUAUGUCACAUCUGAGUUUGAUGAAGAAACUGGCUCAAAAUCAUUGCCGUUUUCUCAAGGUCAUGCAGAAAUUGAAGAACAAGGAAGAGGUCAAGUUUGGAAGAUGAGAUGGUACCACAAAAAAAGCCUUCACAGACUCCUUGAAGAAUUUAAUGCCCACUAAAGAACAGAAAUGACAGUCCCUGCCCUACACCUCCCACCUUAGUACUUAUUUGCCAACAAAUACACUGCCUAAUUUUCCUUCUGCGUAGACAACUACUUUUAUGGUUUUUGUUUAGUCAGCCUAUUGAUGAAAAAAUAACUCAGAAGUCACUGUGCAUAGAAAUCAAGCAGGCCAUGUGUUUGGAUACAUGCCCUCAAAAUCAGGAGAGAUCAUAUCCUGGGCCUAGGGACUUCCCUGCACUGUGGGCUCUAGGAAUUUAAUGGAGUACCCUGACUCUGGUGGAACUUUGUAAAA